rnacentral:rRNA from 1 species
GACGAACGCUGGCGGCGUGCUUAACACAUGCAAGUCGAACGGCAAGGCCCUGCUUUUGUGGGGUGACCGAGUGGCGAACGGGUGAGUAACACGUGAGUAACCUGCCCUUGACUUUGGGGUAACUUCAGGAAACGGGGGCUAAUAUCGGAUAGGAGCUCCUGCUGCAUGGUGGGGGUGGGAAAGUUUCGGCGGUUGGGGAUGGACUCGCGGCUUAUCAGCUUGUUGGUGGGGUAGUGGCUUACCAAGGCUUUGACCGGUAGCCCGCCUGGGAGGGUGACCGGCCACAUUGGGCCUGCGAUACGGCCCAGACUCCUACGUGAGGCAGCAGUGGGGAAUAUUGCACAAUGGGCGGAAGCCUGAUGCAGCAACGCCGCGUGCGGGAUGACGGCCUUCGGGUUGUAAACCGCUUUCGCCUGUGACGAAGCGUGAGUGACGGUAAUGGGUAAAGAAGCACCGGCUAACUACGUG